rnacentral:rRNA from 1 species
UACGAAGGGGGCUAGCGUUGCUCGGAAUCAUUGGGCGUAAAGGGUGCGUAGGCGGCGCGGUAAGUCGGGUGUGAAAUCUCGGAGCUUAACUCCGAAACUGCAUUCGAUACUGCCGUGCUUGAGGACUGGAGAGGAGACUGGAAUUUACGGUGUAGCGGUGAAAUGCGUAGAUAUCGUAAGGAAGACCAGUGGCGAAGGCGGGUCUCUGGACAGUUCCUGACGCUGAGGCACGAAGGCCAGGGGAGCAAACAGG